rnacentral:rRNA from 1 species
CCUACGGGAGGCAGCAGUGAGGAAUAUUGGUCAAUGGGCUUACGCCUGAACCAGCCAAGUCGCGUGAGGGAAGACUGCCCUAUGGGUUGUAAACCUCUUUUGUCAGGGAGCAAUUGGCGCUACGUGUAGCGUUAUCGAGAGUACCUGAAGAAAAAGCAUCGGCUAACUCCGUGCCAGCAGCCGCGGUAAUACGGGGUAUGCGAGCGUUAUCCGGAUUUAUUGGGUUUAAAGGUUGCGUAGGCGGAAUGCCAAGUCAGCGGUAAAAUCGCGGGGCUCAACCUCGCUCCGCCGUUGAAACUGGCGUGCUUGAGUGGGCGAGAAGUAUGCGGAAUGCGUGGUGUAGCGGUGAAAUGCAUAGAUAUCACGAAGAACUCCGAUUGCGAAGGCAGCAUACCGGCGCCCAACUGACGCUGAAGCACGAAAGCGUGGGUAUCGAACAGGAUUAGAUACCCCUGUAGUC